AUACGUAGGGGGCGAGCGUUGUCCGGAUUUACUGGGCGUAAAGGGCGUGUAGGCGGUCUUGCAAGUCAGAAGUGAAAUUCCUGAGCUCAACUCGGGCGCUGCUUCUGAAACUGCAGGACUUGAGUGCUGGAGGGGAUAGCGGAAUUCCUAGUGGAGCGGUAAAAUGCGCAGAUAUUAGGAAGAACACCGGUGGCGAAGGCGGCUAUCUGGACAGUAACGGACGCUGAGGCGCGAAAGCGUGGGGAGCAAACAGGAUUAGAUUCCCUGGUAGUCCACGCCGUAAACGAUGAAUACUAGGUGUAGGGGGUAUCGACUCCCUCCGUGCCGCAGUUAACACAAUAAGUAUUCCACCUGGGGAGUACGAUCGCAAGAUUGAAACUCAAAUGAAUUGGCGGGG
rnacentral:rRNA from 1 species